rnacentral:rRNA from 1 species
GAUGAACGCUGACAGAAUGCUUAACACAUGCAAGUCGAUGGGGAAGUGGUGCUUGCACCAUGGUAACCAUGGCGGACGGGUGAGUAACGCGUAAGGAACUUGCCUGCGGGACUGGGAUAACAGCAGGAAACUGCUGAUAAUACCGGAUAAGGUCAUUAAGCUGCAUAGCUUAGUGAUGAAAGGAGACGCCUGCGGAGAGCCUUGCGUCCUAUUAGCUAGUUGGAGGGGUAACGGCCCACCAAGGCGAAGAUAGGUAGCCGGCCUGAGAGGGUGGACGGCCACAAGGGGACUGAGAUACGGCCCUUACUCCUACGGGAGGCAGCAGUGGGGAAUAUUGGACAAUGGGGGCAACCCUGAUCCAGCAAUCCUGUGUGCACGAAGACGGUUUUCGGAUUGUAAAGUGCUUUCAGCAGGGAAGAAGGAAGUGACGGUACCUGCAGAAGAAGCGACGGCUAAAUACGUG